rnacentral:rRNA from 1 species
UACGGAGGGUGCAAGCGUUAUCCGGAUUCACUGGGUUUAAAGGGUGCGUAGGCGGGCUUGUAAGUCAGUGGUGAAAGCCCGGAGCUUAACUCCGGAACUGCCAUUGAUACUGCAAGUCUUGAGUACACUUGAGGUGGGCGGAAUACAUCAUGUAGUGGUGAAAUACUUAGAUAUGAUGUAGGACACCGAUUGCGAAGGCAGCUCACUAAAUUGUAACUGACGCUGAGGCACGAAAGCGUGGGGAUCAAACAGG